UACGUAGGGUGCGAGCGUUAAUCGGAAUUACUGGGCGUAAAGCGUGCGCAGGCGGUUCGGUGAGUCGGUGGUGAAAUCCCCGGGCUUAACCUGGGAACUGCGUUUGAAACUGGAAGGCUAGAGUGUGGCAGAGGGGGGUGGAAUUCCACGUGUAGCAGUGAAAUGCGUAGAUAUGUGGAGGAACACCGAUGGCGAAGGCAGCCCCCUGGGCUAACACUGACGCUCAUGCACGAAAGCGUGGGGAGCAAACAGG
rnacentral:rRNA from 1 species